AUGGGAGGAAUGCAAGUAGUAACGACUCAUAGCCAUUGUUCCUUCCUCAAGAACUUCCUCGCUGGUGCUGUGUUCACCUUGUCUCUCGUUUACAUCCUCCUCCACUCCACUCCAUCUUCUUUGCUCUCAUAUACCAAUCCUGUUGGUGCAUUUCAAGCACAUCGCACAAGCACAAUUAGCCCUCCUCUCCCACCUCCUCCUCAAGCUUGGCAGCAAUGCGACUAUACCACCGGGAAGUGGGUGUGGGAUGGCAGCGUGAGCGGCCGGCGGUACGACAGCGAAAACUGCGACAUGGUGAGCGCGGAGAAGUGCGUCGUCAACGGCAAGCCGGACAACGGGUACCUGAACUGGCGGUGGCAGCCGGCGGGGUGUAACCUCUCGGCGCUGGACCCGGCUGAGUUCCUCCGGGCAGUCCGGGGCAAGCUCCUGGGUUUCGUCGGCGACUCCACGGCGCGCAACCAGGCCGAGUCCCUCGUCUGCUUCCUCUCCACGGUGUCGCGGCCCGAGACGACGCACCAGUACGAGGAUCAUCCGAUGUCCCACAAAUUCUGGCGGUGGGUCUUCCCGGCGCCGCACAACGUCAGCGUCUCCACGUACUGGUCGCCGUUCCUGGUGCGUGCCGAGGGCAGGUCGGUGGACUACGCCAUGACGCACGACACGCUGUUCCUGGACGCGCUCACCGAGCCGUGGACGGCGGACGUGGAGGCGAUGGACGUGAUGGUGAUCUCGGCGGGGCACUGGUUCAACCACCAGGCCGUCUACUACGACAAGGGGCAGAUAGCCGGCGUGUUUGCCCGUCCGGACGUGAACGAGACCGACAUCGCCGGCGGCUACAUCGGCGCGUACCGCAAGGUGAUCCGGAGGGUGCUUGAGUACGUCCACGAAAAGUCGAGCGGCGACAAGCAGAAGCUGGUGGUGGUGUCAACCAUGGCACCGGCGCACUUCGACGCCAAGUACGCGUCGAACCACCGGGAUGCGUGCUCGCGGCCUAAUCCGUAUGAUGAGGGAGAGGUGCCCGAGGAUGGGGGCACGGCCGAGAUGAGGAAGGCCGUGCUGGAGGAAGCGGCGGCGGCGGCGGCGGCGGCAAAAAGGCAGCGACGGGGGCUGCGGUUCGACGUGCUGGACGUGACGAGGCUGGCGUCCAUGCGGCCCGAUGGGCACCCAGGCGCCUACAUCGUCAAGGACAGGUACGGUGCCGGAAAGCCCGUGCCGGAGACGGUGUUCAACGACUGCCUGCACUGGUGCGCGCCGGGGCCGGUGGACACCUUCAACGACAUACUGGUGCACAUUCUGGCCGCAAGCGGCUGA
rnacentral:rRNA from 1 species